AAUCAACGCUGGCGGCGUGCGUCAGACAAACAAGUCGAACGAUUAACGCUCCCUUCGGGGAGUGCAUAAAGUGGCGCACGGGUGAGUAACACGUAAGUAAUCUAACCUACAGCGGGGAAUAAAGCCAGGAAACGGACGCCAAUACCGCACAAAGCAGCGGCACCGCAAGGUGACAGAUGUUAAAGAUUUAUCGCUUGAGGAGGAGCUUGCGGCAGAUUAGGUAGUUGGUAAGGUAAUGGCUUACCAAGGCCGCGAUCUGUAACCGGUCUGAGAGUGCGGUCGGUCACACUGAGACUGAAUAACGGGUCAAACUCCUACGGGAGGCAGCAGUCGGGAAUUUUGGGCAAUGGGCGAAAGCCUGACCCAGCAACGCCGCGUGAAGGAUGAAGUAUUUCGGUAUGUAAACUUCGAAAGAAUGGGAAGAAUAAAUGACGGUCCCAUUUAUAAGCUCCGGCUAACUACGUGCCAGCCGCCGCCGUAACAC
rnacentral:rRNA from 1 species